CAAUCUGACCUGAAAAAACCCACAAAAUUGAAGUAUUAUUACUAAUAUAUUUAUCGUUCACAUAAAUAUGGAGUAUAUACUUCUUCUAAUUUCCUAUUUUAUACAAUCGCUAUUGCAAGUACCCUAGAUCUAUACGAGCUAACAAAAUUUUUUCAAAAAAAUGUAAGUUCAAGUCAGUCUCGAGAUUAAAAAACUACACAUUGUAAUUUUUGCAUAUCCGGACUUAACAGCCUUAAAUCAACUUGUUUUUGAUUUGUUCGCUUGAUAAGAUAGGUUAAUCCAUUUUCAAGUACUUCGUGUCUGUAAGGCUCAAAUGGAGGUAAGCGAACUCUCUCUCUUUCAACCUCCGGUGUAAUUGGAGGAGCUGAGGGAAUACUACUAUCAGUGGAGCCACCUCCUCUCCGCCUUCACAAUCCAUGUAUUCUCCGGAAGAAGAAGACCCUGAGUGCCAACGAGCCGGUGACGAAGACAUUGUCACCGCCUAAUUGUAUUGCGUAGUGUCUAGAAUGGUUACAAUCCCCAAGUAAUAGAGUUUCAGUAUUUUUUUUGAAAAUAAAAGAGAAAGAAAAAGUUGUCCUGAAUAGAUACUUAGUAGCUGUUUGGUCAUAAACCUAAAAUUUUUUGAAAUUGGAGUUGGAGUAGUAUUUGGACACAUCUUUUUUGAUUUUUUUUUUACUUUUGAAAAUUUUUUUUAAAUAUGAUUUUAUGUCUCAACUUUUACAAACUAUCAAAAUCAUUCAAUUAAAAUUUACC
rnacentral:lncRNA from 1 species